UUUCCAGUGUUUGGUCCAUCUGUCUCUUUUGUCGAGGUAUGGUUGUAAGACGGUCUCUGCUUGUCGGUUGUUGUUUGUGGUGACGUUGGUUUCUAUGUCGUCAGUAAAUAGGGAUGUUUUGAUGCCGGCUUCUGGUAGUGGGAAUUCGGCAAUCAUGAUGUUAAAAAGUAUCAGGCUCAAGAAGCAUCCUUGGGGGGCUCCUCUAUUAAGGUAUCUUUCUUCGGACACCUUGAUUUCCAUUCUGACAGUAAUUCUUCUGUCAGUAAGAAAGUUUUGGAGCCAUUUUAGCAGGCCUUUUUCAGAUCCAGAAAUACUGCUGUGGUAGAUUUCUUCUCGUUGAAUCCGCUGGUGGUUGCGGAUUCAAGGCGAACUAUGUUAUCGUUGGUUGUGCACCCACUUCUGAAGCCUGUUUGGAAAUUUGAGGCAUGAGGUCAGUCAUAUUUGCCUGUACGAGUCGGUAUCUUCUAUAGGUUUGUUUGGCUUUAGGAUUUGUAUCUCAACGGCAGUUUUCCAGUCGGUAGGUAUGUAUCCUUGGUCAAGUGAUUUGUUGAGUAGGUGUAGUGAAGCUUUGAGGUUGCUAUCGUUCAGGUUGCUGAUCAUUUUGUUGUGGACUCUGUCCUUUCCCAUGGCCUUGCAUCUUAGGUAUUUUAAGUUUCUUCUGAGUUCCACUUCCGUUAUAGUUGAGUUGAGUGGGUAGGCUUGCUGGUCGUUUAUUGCAUCCUGGAUAAUCUGCUUGUACAGUUUUGUUCGGUCGUCACUCUUCUCUCUUCUUCCUCUUGGGCAGAAUUGGGCCAGUUAUGAGUUCGACAUUUACGUUUUUGAGUGGCUUGCUGGAGAACGUGUUUUGAGGAGAGUUCAUGACGUUUUUUUUUUAUUCUCCAGAGUGCGUGAUUGUUUCUUGCUCACUCAACGCUGUUAUGUAUUGGUCCCAUGAAUGGUUUUGGCAGUCAUGAUGGUUUUCUCUUUGAUGGCUUCCAUUUUAUUGAGAGCGGUUUUGUCAGAUGGGAGUAGUAUUUUCCGCCAAGUGUGGUGUGCUUUACGCGCUGCUCCGGUGGCUUUUUUGCAGAGUGGUGCCCAUUAUGCUUUGUUUGAUUCUUUUAUGUUGGUGUAGGGGGAAAAGUGUUUGGUCGUAGUUUUGAUAAUGGCCAAGUAGAAGAUGUACGCUACGUCUGUUUCUUGGGUUGUCAUUAUGUUUUUUUCUCUUAAUUUCUUUGCUAGUUCAUUAUUCCACUCUUCCCAGUUUUUGUCUGAAAAUUUCCAAUAGUUGUUGUUUGUGAUGGUGGGUGACGAAUUGAUGUGUAUUUAGAUGAUGAUGAUGGGGGGGGGGGUGGUCACUGCCCCUGUAGGGCACAGUUGUCAUGGAUGUUAGGUGUGCGAUGGCCGAUGAGGCAAAGGUGAGGUGUAUUGUGGAGCUUCGGUUUACGUUGGGGUUGGACCACGUACCUAGGUUUUUGGGGGUACAUAGGGUGAGCUUUUCUUCAUUUAUCAGGAUAUUAGUUAUGAUACGUCCACACUUGUUUUGAGGGUGUUGGUCAUCCCAGAUAGGUGAGUGUGCAUUUAUAUCUCCACCUAGUAUAAGGCUAUUGCUGGAUGAGUUGAUAAUGUCCAUUUCUUCUGCACUGGUUUCCAUCUGGGCAGUAUAUGGAGAGGACGUCAAUUAAUUCGUUGUUUUUUAAAUUUUACAGUUAUCCCGAUGGCUUCCAUUUCUCCGGGGGCUGGUAUAGGGUCAGAGGAGUGGCCUGUUUGUUAUUUUUAAUUAGGAUGGCGACACCUCCACCUUGAUUUUGGCGGUUCAGGUAAUGAGUGUGGUAUGCUGAGAAUUUCGGUAUGAAGUUAUCGUUCCAGAAUGUUUCACUUCGUAGAAUAAUGUGUGCGUUGGUGAUUUUAAUAUUAUAUCUCAAUUCUUGCAAUUUAUAUUUAUAAAGGCUUCUUGCGUUCCAUUGUGUAAUUUUUAACGGUCUUGUCAUUUCUUGUUUAUUGUUGUUGCUCGGCGGUCUAUCGUAUUUGGUGGUUUUGGUGGUGGGCGUUCACUAUUGUUCAGUUUGAGGCUUUCCUUUACCAAAUUCAUAAGGGUUUCUAGUUGGUUAUGCGUGGCUUCAAAGUCGGAAUGCAUGUUUUUUUGUAGGUUAUUGACUUUUUCUGGGUGAUUAUCUAGUGAAGCAAUUUUUUUCUUCAUAUUUUCGACAGUAGUUUCGAGGGCUGUAAAUCUGGCUUCUGUCUGUUAAGGUGGUUGGUGGUUUUUGAGAAGAGUGAUUUGGGAUCUUAGGUAGUUGAUUUCUUGUUUGAUGUUGUCCAGGUCGAUAUAAUUUUUGUCAGUUGGGGCCAUGUUCGGUAUGCAGAUCGGUUUCAUGCCUUGCGGUUUGCUGAGAAGCUUGCUGUCUUCUCGUAUAGGAAUUUUGUUUUCAUAGGCGAACCUAAUUAUCUGCUGUUUGUUCUGAAAGAUGGGGCAUUCUGUUGUUCCAGCUGCAUGUCCAGGUUUUCCGCAUGAGGGGCAUUUAGAUGGGUUAGGGCAGGCUGGUUCGAGCGGUCGAAGUGAGCAAUAUUUUCAAGUCUGUUUUGUUUUGCAGGAUUCCUCAUGAUAGACAAAGUUCCAUCAUAUUCUGCAGAGUAAUGGUCGUGGGAUAAAUUGUUUAACAGGGAAUAUUUCGUGGGCUACUACUACUUCCCGCGGGAGAGAUGAUGUGCUGAAGAAGAAUGUGACCAUUUUGGUUGGUACUUUUGUCCCAUCAUCUGUUAUGGUUGAGAAUCUUUGUGUUUUGGUGACUCCCUGGUCUGUCAGAAGUUCUGCAAGCUCUUCGUCUAAGUUGUUGAUCGGUACAUUUCGUAUGAUGCCCCUUAUUUUGGAUUCGGACAUGGCUGUGAUAAUAUGAUGAUGUGUAAUAUGUUGAGAUUCGACAAACACAACCUUCACCGAGUGACCGCUAGAUGGCUCUAGUUGCACUCGUUCUGUGCUUAAUAAAAGCAAGUCCCCGGCCUUUGGGUUGUAGCCUCUCUCCCCCUUCUCUUCUCCAUUUUUCCUUAUUCUGCUUCUGACCACGUUUAGUGAACGAACACGAAGUUUUUCACUCUCUGCAGAAUUAUCUAAAUUUUCCUCUUUAUUUUGUGUGCUCCAUUCAAUCUUCAACACUGGUAAUUAUUGUAACUGCUAUCUUGAUAAUUUGUCAUGGCACAUUAUAUAUAUAUGUAUGUUUAUUGUAUGAUGGGAAAAGUUAUCGUUUCAUAAUUCUUUUUACCUCUCUUGGUCAUUACGCAUGGACGUUAUCGUCACACAUUUCAUUAUUUUUCAUUAUCGUAUGUAUAUAUGUAAAUGUGCCAUGCUCUGUUCCAGAUUUUUCUGUUCUCUUUCCUCCACUAGACGGAGUGUUCAUUUACCUGGUUAUACCAGAAGCUCCACAUGCUGGAAUGUUUGAUUUUCUUUUUUUCCUGGUUUGACCAGAAGCUCCACAUGCUGGAAUGUUUGAUUUUCUUUUUUUCCUGGUUUGACCAGAAGCUCCACAUGCUGGAAUGUUUGAUAUUCCCUGUUUUCAUAUACAGAAGCCUCUCAUAUUCAUUCUUGUUUAUUUGUAUAUUUCAACAUAAUAGAUUUGGAAUUCUUGCACUGA
rnacentral:lncRNA from 1 species